rnacentral:rRNA from 6 species
UGGCGGCCGUAGCGCGGUGGUCCCACCUGACCCCAUGCCGAACUCAGAAGUGAAACGCCGUAGCGCCGAUGGUAGUGUGGGGUCUCCCCAUGCGAGAGUA